rnacentral:rRNA from 1 species
UCAUCAUGCCCCUUAUGAUUUGGGCUACACACGUGCUACAAUGGACAAUACAAAGGGCAGCGAAACCGCGAGGUAAGCAAAUCCCAUAAAGUUGUUCUCAGUUCGGAUUGUAGUCUGCAACUCGACUAUAUGAAGCUGGAAUCGCUAGUAAUCGUAGAUCAGCAUGCUACGGUGAAUACGUUCCCGGGUCUUGUACACACCGCCCGUCACACCACGAGAGUUUGUAACACCCGAAGCCGGUGGAGUAACCAUUUGGAGCUAGCCGUCGAAGGUGGGACAAAUGAUUGGGGUGAAGUCGUAACAAGGUAGCCGUAUCGGAA